CAAUAGUGUAUAUUAAAGUUGUUGCGGUAAAAAAGCUCGUAGUUGGAUUUCUGUUGAGAGCGACCGGUCCAUACCAUGUAUGCGUAUCUGGCUUGCUCUCGGCAUCCUCUCGAUAGACGUUACUGCGCUUGAUUGCGUGGUGCGGAUCUCGGGACUUUUACUUUGAGGAAAUUAGAGUGUUCACGGCAGGCUUUCGCCAGAAUACAUUAGCAUGGAAUAAUACUAUAGGAUCUUGGUUCUAUUUUGUUGGUUUCUAGAAUUGAGAUAAUGAUUAAUAGGGACAAUUGGGGGCAUUCGUAUCAACACGUCAGAGGUGGAAUUCUUGGAUUGUGUUGCGACGAACUACUGCGAAAGCAUUUGCCAAGGAUGUUUUCAUUGA
rnacentral:rRNA from 1 species